GAAAUGCGAAAAGUAAUGCGAAUUGCAGAAUUCAGCGAGUCAUCGAGUUUUUGAACGCACAUUGCGCCCCUUGGUAUUCCAUGGGGCAUGCCUGUUCGAGCGUCAUUUCAACCCUCAAGCACUGCUUGGUGUUGGGCGUUUGUCCCGCCUACGCGCGUGGACUCGCCUCAAAGUCAUUGGCAGCUGUUCCCCUUCGGCUCGUAAGCGCAGCACAGUCGGCGCCCGGAGCUCUGGUGGGAUGGCGUCCAGCAAGCUAUAUUUUCAGGCUUGACCUCGGAUCAGGUAGGGAUACCCGCUGAACUUAAGC
rnacentral:misc_RNA from 1 species